UACGUAGGGUGCGAGCGUUAGUCGGAAUUACUGGGCGUAAAGCGUGCGCAGGCGGUUUUGUAAGCCAGAUGUGAAAUCCCCGGGCUUAACCUGGGAAUGGCAUUUGGGACUGCAAGGCUCGAGUGCGGCAGAGGAGACUGGAAUUCCUGGUGUAGCAGUGAAAUGCGUAGAUAUCAGGAGGAACACCGAUGGCGAAGGCAGGUCUCUGGGCUGACACUGACGCUCAUGCACGAAAGCGUGGGGAGCAAACAGG
rnacentral:rRNA from 1 species